rnacentral:rRNA from 18 species
GGCGGCAGGCCUAACACAUGCAAGUCGAACGGUAACAGGAUAGCUUGCUAUCGCUGACGAGUGGCGGACGGGUGAGUAAUACUUAGGGAUCUGCCCUUGGGUGGGGGAUAACCAUUGGAAACGAUGGCUAAUACCGCAUAAUGUCUACGGACCAAAGGGGGCUUCGGCUCUCACCUGAGGAUGAACCUAAGCGAGAUUAGCUUGUUGGUGAGGUAACGGCUCACCAAGGCCACGAUCUCUAGCUGUUCUGAGAGGAAGAUCAGCCACACUGGAACUGAGACACGG